AUGUCAAAAAGAAAUCACAUUUCAAUCAACCAACUGCUGCGCUCAAUCCCCUUGCAUGCAACUUCUGAAGAUUUCAAAAAAUAAAAUUAAAAGGGUUGCAGUUAAUCAUGGAUGUUCUUCAAGAGGAUGACUGCACAAUGUUUUCCUAUUGAAUUUAAAACGCAGAAACAAAUGUUAGUGCGAUGGGAACAGAGAAUUAUUUUGAUAGAAGAUUAAUUGGUCCAAUGGUGAAAUAAAAAGGUUGCAGUUAAUUAUGGAUGUUCUGCAAGAGGAUGACUGCACGAUGUUUUCCUUUUGAAUUUAAAAUAUAGGAACAAAUGUUAGUGCGAUGGGAACAAAGAAUUAUUUUGAUAGAAGAUUAAUUGGUCCAAUGGUGAAAUAAAAAAAGGUUGCAGUUAAUCAUGGAUGUUCUUCAAGAGGAUUCCUUUUGAAUUUAAAAUAUAGGAACAAAUGUUAGUGCGAUGGGAACAGAGAAUUAUUUUGAUAGAAGAUUAAUUGGUCCAAUGGUGAAAUAAAAAAAGGUUGCAGUUAAUCAUGGAUGUUCUUCAAGAGGAUUCCUUUUGAAUUUAAAAUAUAGGAACAAAUGUUAGUGCAAUGGGAACAGAGAAUUAUUUUGAUAGAAGAUUAAUUGGUCCAAUGGUGAAAUAAAAAAAGGUUGCAGUUAAUCAUGGAUGUUCUUCAAGAGGAUUCCUUUUGAAUUUAAAAUAUAGGAACAAAUGUUAGUGCGAUGGGAACAAAGAAUUAUUUUGAUAGAAGAUUAAUUGGCCUGAUGGUGAAAUUGCAGCGACGCAUUGGAUCCUCUUCUGUGAUUUCUUCGAGCCAAGGCGUACACGCUGGAUCUUGGCCGGCUGAGAUUUUUCGAAAAUAGAGCUGACCGUCGUACGACGCGAGGAAGACUUGUAAAUGAUCGAUUAGAGGAGAGUUAAGAGACCGAAUUAACGAUGAUGUCAUAUUAAAUUCAGCUGGAUCGCGGUAUCAUCCAUUGGCCACGAAGAUUAUUUAGAAUAUGGAUUUAUGAUUUAUGAAGUCGUGGAUGAAUGUACCGAGAGCAGCCAAGUUUUACUGCCUUACCAGAAACAUUGGAAUGAAAUGCAGAGAAGAUGACAAGUUGAAUUGAAAGAAGAAUGAGAGUUUUGUUAAUGAAUUUUUUUAUUAAUUAUUAUAAUUUAGGCGAGAUAGAGAUGGAAGUUAGUUGAUUGCAAAUAUUUUGAUGACCUUGUUGCUAUUAUGAAUCAUUAUGCAACUGCCAGGUGGUCUCUUGAAUAAAUUGAAAGUUUGAUUAAA